rnacentral:rRNA from 1 species
AAUCAACGCUGGCGGCGUGCCUAACACAUGCAAGUCGAACGCGAGAGGGGCUUCGGCCCUGAUUGAGUGGCAAACGGGUGAGUAACGCGUGGGUGACCUACCUUCGAGUGGGGGAUAACGUUCCGAAAGGGACGCUAAUACCGCAUAACAUCCUGUCUUUGGACAGAUGGAGAUCAAAGCCGGGAUCGUAAGACCUGGCGCUUGAGGAGGGGCCCGCGUCCGAUUAGCUAGUUGGUGGGGAAUGGCUCACCAAGGCAACGAUCGGUAGCCGGCCUGAGAGGAUGAUCAGCCUCACUGGGACUGAGACACGGCCCAGACUCC